GUCUUUUUGGAAGUAAAAAAAGUCAAGCCUGCCCGCUGAAAUAAUUAUUUUUAAGGGCCGCGGUAUUUUGACCGUGCGAAGGUAGCGUAGUAAUUAGGUUUUUAAUUGGAAUCUUGUAUGAAUGGUUAGACAAGAGGAAGUCUGUCUCUUUAUUAAAAAUUGAAUUUAACUUUUAGGUGAAAAGGCUUAAAUGAUUUAAAGGGACGAUAAGACCCUAUAAAGCUUAAUAUUAAAUGCUACUUAGUUGAAUUGUCUAAUAAAGAUUUCGUGGCGUAGUUUUAUUUUAUUGGGGCGAUAGAGGUAAAAUGUUUACUAACUGCUUAGAUAAUAAACAUAGUUAAUUGAGAUAAAAAAAGGAGAUCCUAAAUAAAGAUUAUAAGUUUAAGUUACUUUAGGGAUAACAGCGUUAUUUUUUUAGAGAGUACGUAUCGAAAAAAGAGUUUGCGACCUCGAUGUUGAAUUAAAAUUUCUCUAUAGAUGCAGAGACUAUAAGAGUAGGUCUGUUCGACCUUUAAAAUUUUACAUGAUUUGAGUUCAAACCGGCGUGAG
rnacentral:rRNA from 1 species